UACGUAGGGAGCAAGCGUUGUCCGGAAUCAUUGGGCGUAAAGCGCGCGUAGGUGGCUUCAUAAGUCCGUUGUGAAAGUCAAAGGCUCAACCUUUGAAAGCCGAUGGAUACUGUGAAGCUAGAGUACGGAAGAGGCGAGUGGAAUUCCUGGUGUAGCGGUGGAAUGCGCAGAUAUCAGGAGGAACACCAAUAGCGAAGGCAGCUCGCUGGGACGUUACUGACACUGAGGCGCGAAAGCGUGGGGAGCAAACAGG
rnacentral:rRNA from 1 species